CCUACGGGAGGCAGCAGCAGGGAAUCUUCCACAAUGGGCGAAAGCCUGAUGGAGCAACGCCGCGUGGGUGAAGAAGGUCUUCGGAUCGUAAAACCCUGUUGUUAGAGAAGAAAGUGCGUGAGAGUAACUGUUCACGUUUCGACGGUAUCUAACCAGAAAGCCACGGCUAACUACGUGCCAGCAGCCGCGGUAAUACGUAGGUGGCAAGCGUUAUCCGGAUUGAUUGGGCGUAAAGGGAACGCAGGCGGUCUAUUAAGUCUGAUGUGAAAGCCUUCGGCUUAACCGGAGUAGUGCAUUGGAAACUGGGAGACUUGAGUCCGGGAGAGGAGGGUGGAACUCCAGGUGUAGCGGUGAAAUGCGUAGAUAUAUGGAAGAACACCAGUGGCGAAAGCGGCUCUCUGGUCUGUAACUGACGCUGAGGUUCGAAAGCGUGGGUAGCAAACAGGAUUAGAUACCCUUGUAGUC
rnacentral:rRNA from 1 species